UCGGGAGCGGGGUGGGCAAUUUAUGUCGGUGUUGGCGCCUGCGGCAGCGCCUCUGGAGCCGCCCCCCGUUCUGGAGCCAGGGGGUUCUGAAUGACCUCCCUCUCACUUCGUUCGAGCUGAAUUACAUCCACCCUCUCACGGUUAAAAAAGUGGUUAACUAUCUCGAAAAAAUCCAUAUCGUCCAUCCGAAAAACGUGUCUCAAUUACAGCCAACUCCCCCUCCCCUGUCUCUUUCCCUAUCGAAAAACCAGCCCUACUUAUUUUGUUCUACAAAUGCUAACCAAGUGACACACUGGGGCCAUGGGUCAUGAAAGAGGUUGACCCCCAUCCUCCUUAACUAUGUAUGGCUAAUGAACUCCUCGCUUUAGUCCGUUCUUUUCCUUCUUUGGGCUCGGGUCGAUAGUAGCCGUGGUAGUAAUGCCCCGGAGCCCAGCUACCGACCCGAGGCGCCGAUCGGGAAAGUCAUAA
rnacentral:lncRNA from 1 species